UUAAAAAAUGUUUGUUGUAUGAAUGAAUGAAAUCAAACAAACAUAAUGGAAUUCUGGGAAAUGACUAUAAAAGAAAAGAACAGAAUCCAGUUUCAAGCAUCUCAGAAUGUUACCAACAGUGAAGGAAAAGGGCCUCACAUAUAGGCAAAAUAUAGAUGCAGUUCCAACAUGAAGGAUUUUCAUAUCCACUCAUCUUAAGAGAGUUAAUAAUCCCUGCUACUUCAUGGACACAGUGAGAGGAGUUCUUGCCAUCGCAUAUAGUUUCCCAGGAGAUGAAAUCAUUGCACCCUUUUCUGCCAUUGCUGCAGCCAGUUCUAACCUGAGAAUGGGAACCUGGUCCUUGAGAUCGUAGCAGUGGAGGAACGGUAGCAGAGUGAAAAAUGAGUUCCUCGAUAGAGAAUCAAUCAGCAAAGGAGUCCUAGUCUAAGAGAAGAAGAGAAGUCCUGGAGAAAAGAGAAAUUCCUGAACCAUGUUAAGUUUCUGUACAGGCUGCAGUGUACUAGACAGGGUCUGCCCAGACAGUUAUUAAAUGUUUGAUGUGAGCAGUAACAUCUUAGAAAUGAAACACUACAAAUUACAGCUUCGUUUAUUGUUUUGUUAAUUGUCUAGACUUAUGAAAAGUGAUGGAGAAAAUAUUAAUAAUUCAAAUUAAACUUAAAAGUGUGUUGUGUGUACAUUUUUUGAGGGGUGGUUGUUAAACAUUACCAGUAUACUCCUAAGGAAGGGAAGACACCCCCCCCAACUAAAAAGCAGAGAAGAGACAGAAUCAUAAUAUGGAGCAGAGCUGUCAUACUUGCAGAUUCAAAACUCUCAAUUGUGGCCUGAACUAGAUUAAAAUGUAAUUGGG
ensembl:lncRNA